rnacentral:lncRNA from 1 species
CUUUUGUUGGGUUUGAACCCAUGAUCUUACAGUUGUAUGUAUGAGUUUCAUGCGAUGUUUAUCACUUCGGCUAUAUACAGAAACAAAACAAAAAUAGCGAAGAAGAUGAAGAAUCUCACGUAUCGUUUCCGAUUCCGAGAUUGAGCAAAGCGUAGAGAGAAGCGAUCUGAGAAUCAACGUCUUUUGAAUCGAGCAUUGCGACUAAUGGUGGAAUAGCUCCGAGCAUCGAAAGUGUUCCUCUGACUUCCAAAUUCUCCUUAGCGAGCAUUCUCACGGUGGUCGCAGCUUCACGCCGCUUCACCGAAUCAUCUUCCUCAUGCAAAUCCUUCACAAGUCUCUUAAGUUUCUCUAGAGCUUCUUCCUUCUUCUUUGCUUCCUCUUCCGUCUCUAUCUCCGCCAUGUUAAGAAGAUCGGAGAGUUUCUCCGAUUUCACAUUCGGUUUUGAAGUUUGAGUCUGUUGUCGUUUGUCGAAGGAAGAAGCUGCUGAUGAAGAGAAGUCUUCAGUGUCAUCUUCGUUGAAAGUGCUACGGCGGCGGUGAUUAUAACGGGAGGUGGCGCCACCGCAGCUGACGGCGUGGAAGAUGAGACGACGGAGAGAAGCAAUGGAAAGGGAGUUCCAGAGACGGAAGUGGUGGGAGAAUGUUGGUGGUUUCGAAGAGUGGUGGUGGCGGUGGCGGUGGCCGAGAACGAGGUUUCCGACGUUGUUCCGGUGAUAGUUUGCCAUUCUCCGAUGAACUACAUUGAAGGGAGAGAUAAAGAAAGAAAGAGAGAGAGUGAAAAGGGACCGUUGAGUCCCCGUUUUUGGUUUAUUUUCAGUAUUUAUAUAUUGGGGAGUUAUAUAUUGUGUGUGAGUUUCCAUGUGACUCACUUUUUUUUGGCAAAGAAAAUUGUGAAACCUUUAGAAAGAGCACGCGUCAAUGUCCUUAACCAACGUCAUCAGAUCAAUCUAUGUAGGUUUAUUUAAAAAUAUGAUUUGGUGUUGUUACAUCGUCAUGUUAUGACAAAUCUUGGCUGUAUGAUCCCUAAUUGAUGGAUGAGAUCAAACUGUAUGAAAACUAAUCAAACCUAUCUGAACGGUUUGAUCAUUUUUCUAUGACUGAGAUCACCUACUACGUGAAGCAGUUACAAUAGGAAAUCUAAGUUUGUUUAUUUGUGACUCACUUCUAGUGUGCCCAUGCACCGUAGUAUUUAGUCGACACAUGUGGCACGUUUAAAUACCAAAA